GAUGAAGAACGUAGCAAAAUGCGAUACUUGGUGUGAAUUGCAGAAUCCCGUGAACCAUCGAGUUUUUGAACGCAAGUUGCGCCCGAAGCCUUUUGGCCGAGGGCACGUCUGCCUGGGCGUCACGCAUCGCGUCGCCCCCCACAAUUCUCCGUAAAGGGAACGUGUGUUUUGGGGGCGGAUAUUGGUCUCCCGUGCUCAUGGCGUGGUUGGCCGAAAUAGGAGUCCUUUCGAUGGACGCACGAACUAGUGGUGGUCGUAAAGACCCUCGUCUUUUGUUUCGUGCUGUUGCUCGCAAGGUAAACUCUUUAAAAACCCCAAUGUGUCGUCUCUUGACGACGCUUCGACCGCGACCCCAGGUCAGGCGGGACUACCCGCUGAGUUUAAGCAUAUCAAUAAGCGGAGGA
rnacentral:misc_RNA from 1 species